UUUAGUUUACAGAGAGCUGGUUUCCAAUAGGUGAAUGUAGUUUAAAUGAUGAAGACAUCAUCUGUAUCAUCCCUUAUCUCUUAACAGCUCAUCAUUUCUUGAGACUCUGAUAAGUAAAGCAAAUCAAAAGCACAAAUUGCCAGCGCCUGGGAUUUUCUGCUUUGUUAUAUAGCAACAUACUAUGUGAUGAAGAAAUAAGAUCUAGAUAUACAGCAGCCCUCCUGCUUUGAAAAUCCUACCUUGAAGACUCAAUCUCACAACUCAGUAUGAGGAGGAGGAAGAAGGUCACAAAUUGCCAUGUCCAGAAUAUGGGUGGUACUUAUAGCAUUGGAGUGGUCAAUGGAUGUUGGAAUAGAUCUCUCAAAAUUGCCCUGUUCCUGAAGCCACUGAAACAAAUGCUUAGCAGGCACCUGGGAGACUUAACAGCACAGCAGGGUAUUGUGUUCCUAAACCCUUGACUCAGACCAGUCACCUAAUGAAUGUGGGGCUUUAUCCUCCCUAUCUAAUGCAAUUGUGGAUGUGCUCAUAAAUAGCUACUUCUUAAAUGUACUGGACGUGGAUGGCUCUCCUGCUAACCUAUACAUGGAAGUUAUCUCUGUAACUUGAAGUUAUGUAUUUUGUGAUCUACCUAAUGAGUAAAAGUGACCCUUAGGCCCUUGCCUGUACUGCAGUCCUGCCAAUGAGAAGCUACUUGUGAGAAUAAGGUUUUCAGGAGGGGAAUGGGGGGAUAAAGAUUAACUCUUCCAAACGGCUUUACAAAAGAGAUACAGUGCACCAUAUUAUCUAACAGCGCUCUGCCUUUUCACUCAGGGAGACAGACAUUAAGGUGCAUUAGUCCUAUCGUUUGUGUGUCUGUAAAUAUCAAUAAAGUAUGUUAUUUGGCUUUCACAUUUACACAAUGAAGGAGGAGGACUAUCUUUUUCAGGAAAUUUCACAGAGCCAUUCACAAACAAAAGCUCAGUAAUUUAAUCUUUCAAAAGCUCAAUAAUGCUAAGUUCAAAAUUGCAGGUUUUAAACUAAUGUACCUGAUAAGUAAUGAUGACAGAAUUUAAAAGGUCCAUUAUUUGGUAAUCUAAUAUUCCCAAUCCCAGUUAUCUGUCAAAGAGAAUACUCUCCCUUAAACAGUGCUAAUGUGUUCACAUCUACAUUAAUCUCUUCGGGAGAAAAGAAGCAUUCUUUACGGGCUUUAUCUGUUUCCAAAUGUCUGACUCCACAAGGAGCCAUUUCGCACUGCUGAUGAGGCUAUGUAAAUGACUCAAAUGUCUUUGUAUGAUAGGUGCGAUUUCGUACGGAUACACGUGAUACCGUAUUACUGAGAGGCACUCCCUGGCCAGCCAGCCCUCAGUGUUCAUUUACAGGCUGUGCCUACUGCUUUUGAAUCCUCUGCUGCUUCUCCACUCCAAAACAAACAUCGUGCUUACAGGUUUGCUCCUCACCUGCUUUUCUGGCAUGAUACACUGCUUUUCGGAGCAGCACAACUCCCUUCUGUUGUGUCAUCUCCCAUCAGUACUCCAAAGAGUGUGAUAUCGAUAUGACAAGAUUCACAACGUGAGAGCUUGAAUGAAUUGUGCCUCUUCUUUCUGGGAAAUUCUAUAGGAUAAUAUACAAAGAGUUAGG